rnacentral:lncRNA from 1 species
UUUUUCUGGAAGGUUCGAUAUAAGAAGUGCAACAAUGUACUGUGAAGCAAGAACAAUGUUUUUCCUAAACAGAUUUGAGUAUACCAACUUAGUAAGACAGUAUGGAGGUAUAUAAACAAGGGAGGGAGAUCAGAAGUUCAUACUUACCAAGGCAUGCAAAUCCAGCUGCAGAUGAAGCCAAUCCAGCAGCAGUAGGAAAGUUGUUAUACGAAACUAUAUGUACACGCAAUUUUUCCCAAUUCUUCUUCUCUAUCUUGAUACCCUUUUCCUCAUCCUCGAUAUCACGAGCACGAGCACGAAUCUCUCGUAAGCAAUUCUGAUACCGGGCUCCAGAGAGGGAAACCUCCUACACUAACCAGAAAACCAAAGGAGUGGGGAUAGAAUCACAAUCUAAUCAAGUCAAAAUCACUGGAGGCACAAGUUAAGAAACAAAAUAUGCUCGACCUUGAUGCAUCGUGCAUCUAAACAUGUUUCCAAGUUUAUUUUACCUUUCCAUUAAGCCACAUCCGAUCCUGAUCAAAGGUGGGACUAACUGCAACAGUAGUGGUAGUGCAGAGAUGAGCCGGAUCCAAAGUGACACUUAUGCUGUCAUUGACUGGUAAAAUCAAGUCUUCAUCCCUCUUUCCCCAGUACUUAAUCACUGCUAUAUUGGUGGGAGUUUGCGCUGUCACCAUCCUCACCCACUUAUCCGCCAUUGAAUUACUGAUGGUUAGUUUGAGAAGAAUAUACAGAAAAAACUCCCAAAAGCUUCCUCUUUCCCAGGCACAAAUAACGAAAGGUACAGAGGAGAGAAGCACAAGCUAGCUCAAUGCAGCUACAACCACCAGUUCCCGAAUUCAGCUUGACUACUGCAACUGAUUCGUGCACGAAUGUUAUUCCAGAGGAAACGAGAUAGUUCAGAAUGCGCGAUACGACUCCGCGCCAGCAUGGAUUAUGUUGGGAUCAAAUGCGCGAAAGAGACGACUCAGCCGAGUGCUGGAUAGAUCAUAGAUGGCGACUGAGAAGGAGAGUGAAAGAAGAGACGGACGAAAUGAAGAGGGACGGUGGGUUUGGUGCCGCGAUUCUAGGUGUUGGUUUGGUUCGAAAGUUUUGGAAUUUGGUUUUUUCAGUUCGGCCCCAAACCAUGAGCCGAAAGGCUGUGUCUUUACAACAGAGUCCGGCCCGACCAACAGGUCCACUGAAAAAGGGCGGGGCUUUGACGCGGGAGAAAUUGAGAAAAGCUGCAGAGCUACAAAGGAGUGUGGAAGGUUGGGAGAGAAAGGGAAUCUGGUCGGUCGUAGAAGAGGAGGAUGGGGUCGGAGGAGGUAACAGCAGCUCUGCCUGAAUGGACAUCCACUCCUUGCAUUAUGGGCAUCGACGAAGCCGGCCGUGGCCCUGUUCUCGGUAAGCUCACUCAUUCACUCUCACUUCUUCUUAGUAGUUAUCAUCCUUUUUUCUUUUUUUGUGUGUUGAUUCCUUCUGAACCCUUUUCCGACUUCUCCUUACAGGCCCCAUGGUGUAUGGAUGCUUGUAUUGUGCUCGCUCCUACCAGGAGACUCUAUUAACCUUGAGUUUUGCAGGUCCUUUAUUUUCCCCCAUCUAGGUUUUAUGAGUUUUGUCCUGCGUAAAUUUGAAAAUUUUUGUCCGGUUCACCCAAUUCCUAAUUUCCAACAUUCAUACGAGAUAUGGAGUUGAUAGUACCUCACAUUUUGCGGAUCUUACUAUGAUCAGCAAUGCUAUGCAGUCAAUUUACAGUUCCACGCUGCUCUAUUAUUAGUAUCUCAGCAAUGCUUGCUGUAGGGUGUUGAGAAGAUAGUAUAUUUCCCUUUGUAAUUUGUGCAGAAUUUUAUUAGACUUGAUUUGGGACUUAUUGAUUCAUCAAUGUCAAUGUAUCUAAGUUGCCCUCAAACCCAUUGUUUUCUUUUCUUUUGAUAUUAGUGUUUAGCGUAGGGCUAGUCAGGAGUAGAAGCUUAAAUUAGAGAUGAAUGUGUUAUUACCUUCAACAUUGACUGAAAUGUUUUGAUCUUUUAUGCCCUGCAACUCCUGUUUCUGUAUUGAAAUUGUUAGUGCUUGAUAAUGAUAUUUAGUUACAUCUCUUGACCAUGUAGUUUAGACUUAAAGACAUGAGGCUACUACUAAUAAUGUUGCCUGUCGACUGGUUCCAGACUCAAAGACCUUAAAGGAAGAGAAGAGGGAGGAAUUGUUUGAAAGUCUGAAGCUUGACGAGUCAAUUGGAUGGGCUGUUGAUGUCAUUGAUCCGAGAGAGCUGUCUGCGAAAAUGCUAAAGAAGUGAGUCGAUUCUGCAAUUAAGUAUUUAUUUGUUUGAUGGUUUCUCUUUUUAAACAAUUUAUCUUAUGUACUUCUUAUACCUCAUGAAACAGGAAUAAGAUCAAUCUGAAUGAGAUAUCUCACGACUCAGCAAGUGGUCUGGUCAAGAGAGUUCUGAACAUGGGAGUUCUUCUAACUGAGGUUAAAACUGUCACUUUCUGUAAUGUGUCUCCUCGUGUGUGUAGAAUUCACAGAUUCUUCAUACGUUGCCCUUGGAGUAUCAGGUCUAUGUUGAUACAGUUGGAGAUCCAGAGAAAUAUAGAGUCAAACUCUCAGAACGAUUUCCAUCCGUCAAAUUUGUAGUCGCAAAGAAGGCUGACAGUCUUUACCCGGUUGUUAGUGGAGCCAGCAUAGUCGCAAAGGUACCAGACACCGACGAGCUCUUUGUCAUAGUAUUGUUUUGAUAUACAUUCGAUAUAUUUGGUGAUAAAAAUAGGUCACUAGAGAUAGAUCCCUGCGAGAAUGGGCGUUUGAUGAAACAGACAAAGACAUCGGCAGGAACUUCGGUUCUGGAUACCCUGGAGGUCUGAAACAUCUAGUCCUCCUUUCAUUUGUUUUCAUGUAUUUUCUCUGUAACUUUAGGUUUUGAAGUUUAUCUUUUUCUUUUCGGCUAAGACCCUGAAACAAAGACAUGGCUGGAGCAACAUAAACAUAAAGUGUUUGGGUUCCCCAAAUUAGUUCGUUUCAGUUGGGGAACAUGUAAUUCCUACUUCAAAGAUGGUGUAGAAGUCUUGUGGUUAGUUCUUCUUCUAUUGCCCUAUGUCCCUAUUCCGAUUUAUGUGCAUUUUGGUGUUUGAUCGCUGCUUAUCAUUCUAACAACCUUGCGUUAUCAGGGAGGCUGACAUCGACGAAGACAGUACUAGCAACAGUAAUGGAAAACGACAGUUGAAGUUAAGCAACUUUGGAGUCACAACCUCCAAGAAGAAGAAGGAAGAAGUUGAAUCGAGCUGUAAAGGGCGUUGCAAGUUCUUCGAGACAAGGAAACUUGAACAACUUGCUGAUUUCUAACGUUGACAUGCUGUUUUGUGGUAAUGCUUUAAUUCUGACAUUCAGAUCUCUGUCUCAUUGUUGAACUAAAUUCAUGAGGUCAACGUCCAUAUUAGACAAUGAUGCAGACAAAUUAUAAGAGAUAAGCUCGCUUUUUUUCCCAGAUAUCUUUACAUAAUUUGCAGCAAGACAGGAUUGUGAUCCUUGUAUCUACAUGAGAAACUUUUAUGUUACAGAAGCAAACCCAACCCAAGUACAAGCAUAUCGCAAAAUUUGAGACAAGCUCUCAACAACACAAUCAACAAGCAGUCUUAUUUCAAGCUUCUCAGUGCAAAGGCUUCCACAUAGAGGCCAAUGUGGCGGCUAUAACCAAGGUGACCACUCCUCUCCAGUAGAUGUUGUUCUUGGCACUGUUGCAGGGGGCAGCACCUCGUCGUUGUUGGUGGUGGUUGUUGUUCGCUGCACCGGCUAUGAUGACAGGUACUGCUGCUCCUCCACCUUGCGUGUUUCUGCCACCACCAUUGCUAUUGUCGGAAUUACCACCCGAUCCUCCACCACCAUGGCCGUGAGUUAAUCUGUUGACACUGUUGAAUUCGUAGAGAUGGUGGUGUUUAGCUGCUCUCGGUUCUUGAUUCUCCAAGGAUUCUGUUAUCAGUGAUAUCUUUGUCAGUUGCAGCCAACAACCUUCAAUUGUUGUCUGUGGUGAUCAAGAAGUUAGCUUUUUAUUUAUUUAUUGUGAUAGUAGAUAUUCAAUCUGAUUCCAAGCUGAUUGUUAGUACAGUAAAAACUAGAACUAGUUGAAGAAGAUGCUAUUCUUUCCGUAGGAUUUAGUUGAGAUAGUCUGCAGGAGAAAGUGCUUCCAGCUUUUGGUCUAGCUAGGAUGAUAAAUAAAUAUUCCUCAUUCCAGUAGUUGAGGUCUGAGGAUAACAACCUCAAUGAAACCAGAUUCCAAAAGCAGGAAGUGGAGAAUCUGAUUCCUUAUCAGUGGUUAAGAAAAUAGCAGCCAUUACUGGGUUUCAAACUUUUCCAGAAAAACUAGGAACAUAUCAAUCAAAUGAUUGAUUGAACAAUUUCAUCUACCAGUGAAGUUAGUGGUAAAGGGUUGGGAGAAGAAAUUAGCAGAGACAUAUAGCUGCUGCUGCUGUAGUUUGCCUAGUAGCUACUAGAGAAGGCCUAUUGAAGGAAGUGGGUGUUGCAAAAGUUGAAAUCUUUAUCCAAAUAUUAAGUCGAGCGAACUUACAACACAGGGUUUGUAAUUGUCGGUGGGAGAGGAGGAAUCGUACCAGAGGAAAGCAGGAUGCUGUGAGUUGCAGAAGAAGUAGGAAAGUGGAAGAUGAAGAAGGAGAUGGUGAAACAUGUGAUGAGGAGGAGCAAUGAUGAACUAGUCAUCUUUCUUCUUAGCUGCUGCUGCUGCUGCUUCUUCUGUCAAGGCUAGUAGUAUUAUAGUGUUGUUAGUGAUGAGGGAGAACAUCAUAGAAUUUUAUAAUUAGUACACUCAGUCUUCUCUCUCCCACUCACUUGUAUUUUUCCAUUAUCUUUAAUAUCUUUGGGUUUUUCUUACAAAAGAAUUAAAGCAUAUUUAGCCUUUUUCUUGUCCAAUUAAUUCUGUAUUCCAGUUGAGAAAACUACCACUUCACUACCAUUCUUCUCUAUUUCUUUGACCAAAAUCUGGCUACAGUUGAGUUCUACCAUUUAUAUAAUUAAAUCAAGUACAUUGUUGAUCAGACGGUCAGUAAGUGAUGGGGCAAAUCCGUCAAAGAAAAAAAUUCCAAUAUAAAAUAAGACAAAAAUAUCAUUAUAAGAGUUAAAAAAAUAAAAAAAAAUACAAUUAUUAUAUUUUCAAAGAAAAUGUUUUUUAAUUUUAUUUGAUUAUUAUUUAAAUGGGUUAAUAUAAAUUAAUUAAUAUUAAAAUUUAUAUAUUAGAAAUAAUAAAAAAUUUAUAUUUUAUUAUGAUAUUUUUUAUAAAUAAUAAUUAAAUAUAUUAAAAUUUAUAUUUUGAAAUAUUACGUUAAUGUUGAAAUUUUCAAAUUGAUUUAAUUUAACCUCGGAGAAAGACUCGAUCAAAAAUGGUGGCGGGGAAGAUAUAGAUUAGAGAGGCCUGGCAUUUUCUACGUAGAUUGGAUUGUUGUUUUCCCAGUUUGGAAGAUACGUUAAACUCCAUUAACAACAUAUGCAUGACGACCAUGACAUGGCCAUAACACAACGUGGCAACUGGAAACAUAACAAGGGCCACGUCCACUGGCGGCCGCCAUUGAUGUGCUGAUUCAUAUAUCCAAAUCCAAGUUUCUUUUCUCUGUGUAUAUAACAAGUUACGUUUAUUUGCUUAGGAUCCAAAUCAUAUCCAGUACCUAGAAAUUAACAAUGGACUUGUUACUGAUCAUGCUCACCUGUUCACUCUGCCUCCUGAUCACCACCUUGGCCGUCCUCUUUCGUUUCCCGGCGUCCAACAAAAAUCCGGCUGUGAAACUACCGCCGGGCCCAUCACGUCUUCCAAUCAUAGGCAACCUCCUUAACUUGCUUGCCGGCGGCAAGUUACCCCACCAAUCCCUAGCCAACCUUGCCAAAAUUCAUGGUCCUUUAAUGAGCCUGAAGCUCGGCCACGUCACCACGAUCGUCGCUUCCUCUCCGGCGGUAGCCAAAGAGAUGCUCCAAAACAACGACCAACUUCUCUCCGACCGCUACCUCAAUCGAGCCAUGUGCACUUUCAGUCACCACAAAUUCGGCAUGUCGUUGCUCCCCGUGGGAUCAUCCGAGUGGAGGAGCCUCCGGAAAGUCUGCAGCACGUAUCUUUUCGCUAACCAAAAGCUGGAUUCCGACCAGGACACUCGGAGGAAGAAGAUGGAUGAGCUCCUUAAAAGUGUUCGACGAAAUGCCUCAGAAGGGAAAGCCGUGCAUAUUGGGGAAGCGGCGUUUAGAACAAGUGUUGGCACCCUGUCGACGACGGUUCUUUCGUUGGAUUUGACGGACGAGGAUGUUGUGGACUUCAAGGAGGCUAGGGGUAUAAUGGAUGAAGCAGGGAAGCCGAAUUUCGGAGACUAUUUCCCGGUUCUGGGUGCGAUGGAUUUGCAGGGGAUAGAGAGGCGGAUCGUGAGUCAUUCCAGGAAGUCGUUGGAUUUGUUCGGAAAGAUAAUCGACGAACGACUGAAGAAGCGGAAAUCUGAGGCAUAUGUCUCGGCUAAUGACAUGCUCGAUACCCUUCUGGACAUUGGUGGUGAUCAAGAGGCUUCCAUUGAUCUAAAUCUCAUCAAACACUUGUUCUUGGUAAGCGUUUUAACCCCUAAGGAUCAAAACGGACAGCCUUAGUAAAAAUAAAUUUCCUUUAUAAACAAAAUAGAAUGCGUUAGUAAAAACAAACUGCUCAAAUUACAAAUAAAUUAUUUAAUAAAAACGAACUAAGCAAAGUAAAUACUCAGUAAACGCAAUUAAUUCUUUCUUGUUUUUGGCUCAUUGAUAUUGAUUUGAGUUUAUCCGGGUGAUCAGGAUCUAUUCGUCGGUGGAAUCGAUACAAUGACGAGCACAUUAGAAUGGGCGAUGGCAGAAAUGAUCCGCAACCCCCUUGUAUACGCUAAAGCAAAAGAUGAAAUAGAUCGAACCAUAGGGAAGGAAAAUCGUCUACUAGAAUCUGACAUCCUUCAGCUACCUUAUUUGCAAGCCAUACUUAAAGAGACUUUCAGGUUACACCCGGCUUCUCCUCUACUGAUUCCACGAAGGGCAAGAGCCGACUUGGAAAUCUGCGGGUUCACCGUGCCUAAAGGAGCACAAAUUCUAGUCAAUUUAUGGGCCAUUGGUAGAGAUCCGGACAUAUGGAACGAUCCAACUUCAUUCAUGCCAGAGAGGUUCAUGGGAUCGGAGAUUGAUUUUCGCGGAAGUAGUUUCGAACUGAUCCCUUUCGGGGGUGGACGAAGAAUUUGCCCUGGGUUGCCGUGGGCAAUGAGGAUGUUGCCAUUGAUGUUGGGAUCCUUAGUUCACGAAUUCGAUUGGAUGUUGGAGGAUGGAGUUGAGCCAGAAAGUUUAGAUAUGGAAGAGAAAUUUGGAAUCACUUUGGAGAAAGCCAAACCUUUGUUUGUUGUUCCCAUACUUAGAUAAUUUGAGGUGAUGAUACCUUAAUACAUGGUUUGGUUGUCUUUCGAUUCAGCACUCUUUUGUUAUGUAACUAUACAAUGUACUUAAAUUUCUAGCCUCGUUUGUGUAUAUGAUUUUAUUGGUAUUCGAUUAUAAUCGUACAUGUAAAUGGGUCAAUAUUCGAGUAUUUCAUAGUUAAAAAACCCAAAAACACAAAGUGAAAAUAGUAGCAGUUGAGGAAGAGAACACAACUUUUUUAACGUGAUUUAGUUCACAUCAUGAGAUAUCACUUGAGGGACGAUCCAAACCAUUUCGAAUUUUUUCCCGCCGUUAUCAAUUUCAUGGCGAGGUGGAACAAGAAAAGGUCCAGACCUUUUCGACAAGUGAGGAAGAAGAAGAAGCCGCCAUGAGAAAAUGGAAAAUGGAAUCCGACACCGUUUCUUUUUUUUUUCUGAUGAAUAUUUGGAUUUUAAUCAAACGAAUAAAUUAAACGUGACAUGCAUGUUAUAAUUUCGUUUGGUCUAGGCAAAGUUCGUUCAUUUCAUCGUAAAAUUUCCGUCCAUCAUCUUAACAGAACCGUACUCAGUGUGAUCGAAACUUGACAUGAGUUGCACCAAAUGCAAUAAACUUAGUUUUAUGGUCAGUCGUAAAUUUUUAAUAGUUGAGCGGUAUAUGACGUAAUUAAAUCGGUAAUAUUAGAGAUAACUGAACAAAAUUACAUUUCAGACUUAACCUACCAACAAGCAAAACAAACAGAAAAACGAACGUGAUUGGUAUGGGUUCAUAUGAUACAAAGUAAGCCUAUCUGUGUUGCCUUCAUGCAGGCUAGCUAUUGAUCUAUUCACUAGUUUGCUUUUGCUUUGGAGCGAAAUUGUAGAGCGCGAGACCCAACACGAGAGUCGCGCUCCCAAACAUAAAAUAGGGGCUCAGGGUCGAACUCUCAUCAAGAUACGGUAAUGGAAGCGAUAGAACGUAAAUCGACAACGGCACUGCAAGCAACAUAUUGCAACAUAUCAGUUGGCAAAACAACAAACAGGAAGAACACAAAUAAACAGCAGAGAUAGAGAUACGAAAACCGACCUGCUAAUGUGGUGGCAAGAGAGGAUACAACCGCAGAUGAAACCUUCAUUAGCUUUAGCAUCGAUAUAUUGAACGUCAAGUUAGCAGCUAUGUACAGCAUUGGCAGCAGUGGAGCACCCGUCGAUUCUACAGUGUGAUUCCAGAAACAAUCAGAUAGAGACAAGACGUCUAUAUAUAGCUUUUACUGCAAAUUAUAUUGACAAAACGAAACCGGAAACGCGAGAACUUGCCUGGCGAGUCGGACCAGAGAUUCAGGAAACUACCAGUCCCAUUUUUCAAGUACAGUGGAAGCUGAGCAAGUGGAAUGCCCUUGAAGUUCGACAUGAGGGGAAGAAACAUCAGCACAAAAAGAGCCUGCAAGUUGAACACAGGUUAUCGAAUCAAACCGGUUAAUUAUAGUAGUUGAUGUGACGCCAUAGAAUGUGAAGCCACAAACCAGAGCGUGUUCAUUUCAACUACUGCUCUAGAAAAAAGACGAUAGCUUUUGAUGGUUUCUUGCGGAAUAAGGUUUGUGUUUGUACUCAUAUAUUGUGAAACUUAAUGCUUUAUACUUGAGUAGGUUUACCUGAAAUCCAGAACCUAAUGUAUUGACAACAAAUAUGUCAAGCGAUUUCCCCUGCAUAUCAAAAUGUAAGCACUGUCUUUGUUAGGCAUCCGACUCGUGCCAACUGAUAAAUAACAAAGGUCAGCUGAAGGUAUACCUUCAAUUUUUUGGCAGCAUCAAGAAACACGAAUUCCUGGUACACAAAAAACAAACAAGGCAAAGCUAAAUUGUUCAAUUUGCUGAUACAGAGGUGAAUUACUUCAACUAAACGAGCCCAUUUCCGAGGAGUAAACCUUUAGUAUCAUAGCACCGGAAUGAAGAGCACUGGAUAAUAUCAUGACAGCUGCCCACAUGUACUCGUCACCAGAUAGCAUCUGCUCAUCACUGGAUCCACUGUGAUCAUAGAUGAUAUGGAACAGAAAUGUUAUAUAACCAGGAAGCAGGCAGGGUUGUGUUUUAAGCAGCAAGAAGUGAAUCAAACGUUCUUAAUGGAAAUACCUUGUCACAGCCAUGACUACACCAAUAGCUACAAGCAAGCAGCCAGCCAUUUGAGCAUACGAGUACCUUCGGCCGAGGAAAAUGCUGGAAAAAGCGAGUUGCCAAAUCAAGAAUGUCUGCAACAACAACGGGCAAGCAUUUGAAGAAGCAGUGGAGAGUGAUAUUAUAGAGAAACAAGAAAGAAUCCAGAGGCUGGAGAAGGGUAUACCUGAUGCAGUAUAGGUAUAGAAGGUCCAGGUAGAUUGGCUGGUGGAAUUGACAUGAAAUUUGAAAUUUACUAUUAAUAAAACACAAUUUUGAAUAUUCAGUAGAAGAAGAGGAUUGAUGGUAAGUUUACCAGCAGCGUACAUUCCAAUUAGGGUUCCAACGGCUUCAAAAGCACCAAUGGCAGCAUACCGAGAUUUAGGAAGCGCCAACAUCUCAUCACUCACAAUCCCUGCACGGUACCUCAUAUGCAAUAUCGACGAGUAAAUCACCACGUACCUGUGUGAUCCGAUCAUCAAUUUCUUCUUCAUCAUCACAUUACCAAAAUGUCAAUUAAUUCAUAAAAAAUCUCUUCACCCGAAGGUAGUGAACUGAGCUAGGAAGAAGGGGUAAUCCUUCAUCGGAACAAGGGCGAGCUUGUACAGCACUCGAUUCGCCACCGCCAGAGCUAUCGUCGCCGCCGAGCUCGCCACCACCAGCUGGGUACUGCUGCUGCUACUGUCGCCUGACCUCUGCUCCGCCCGAGCCGAGACAUCACGUGGUGGAGAUCCGAGCAGAAUGUGAUCCCGGCGGCGAAGAAGAGACGGGGACGUCAGAUUGGAGCUCCCGCCGGUCGGGGGAAGAAGCGGGGGGGGGGGGGGAGAGUGGGGGUUGCUGCUGCUGCUUGCUGUGGGUGGGAAAAGAAGCAAAUUAAGUAGAGAAGACUGAAGAGUUAGCUUCUGUAAUGGAGAAAGGUUGGCAAUGCGUGAAAAUGAAAUGGAGGUAGCUUGCUUGCUAGCUUGGUAUUCGUUAAAAUUAAUGAAGAUUGGAAGCCACGACAAGUUGGGAAGAGGGAAGCAGAGGCGUGGAAGUUAAAGAAUGAAGACCUUCAGUAAAGGACAAACAGACUAACAGAGAGAACCGGCAUUCUGCAUAGGAAUGAAGUCCAUAAAGUUGAAAGGUUUCAAAGAACAUUCUGCAUAGGAAUUACAGUAGUUGCUCCUCGCCUCAAUGCUCUCAGGAAAAAGUUGAAGCUUCACAGAUCAUCUUGAACGUCUGUACAAGAACAAAUAAAAGGGUUUGCUGCUUUCACUGCUGAAGAGAUGUUAUGCCUGAACUGUAGAGCACAGGGAUAACUCGAGCGGGCUGUGGUUUUCCAUACCUGUUCAAUGUUUUCAGCUAGGGUGUAGGUAGAAUGUAUGGAUCUGUUGUAGGCAGGAACAGCGAGGUUGGUCAGAUUAUGAGCAACAAUUGGAAUGUAUUUGGCUACCCUAAUAGUUGGCAAUAGUUCCGGUUUCGUAUGUCAUUUUGAUUCAUUUCCAGAAGAGUAAAUAAAAUAAGUACUGGACAAGUCUUGAGAUCAUAUGAGACAGUACUCAUUCUGGAAGUCUACCAAAUUGAGGCGAUUAUUAUGUGCUUACAAUUCUUCAGAAGAGAAAUUUGCUUCCACUACCACUGGUACAACAAGUGCAAACAGCAAACCAUACAAGUUUUCAACAAACUGCAUCGCGAAGGGAACUUUGUGCUACUCCCAAGAUAAGACGAUCAGUUCAAGCAGUAUUUGGGCAACAGUCUAA